AUGAACGCUGGCGGCGUGCCUAAUACAUGCAAGUCGAGCGAACGGACGAGAAGCUUGCUUCCCUGAUGUUAGCGGCGGACGGGUGAGUAACACGUGGAUAACCUACCUAUAAGACUGGGAUAACUUCGGGAAACCGGAGCUAAUACCGGAUGAUAUUUUGAACCGCAUGGUUCAAAAGUGAAAGACGGUCUUGCUGUCACUUAUAGAUGGAUCCGCGCUGCAUUAGCUAGUUGGUAAGGUAACGGCUUACCAAGGCAACGAUGCAUAGCCGACCUGAGAGGGUGAUCGGCCACACUGGAACUGAGACACGGUCCAGACUCCUACGGGAGGCAGCAGUAGGGAAUCUUCCGCAAUGGGCGAAAGCCUGACGGAGCAACGCCGCGUGAGUGAUGAAGGUCUUCGGAUCGUAAAACUCUGUUAUUAGGGAAGAACAUAUGUGUAAGUAACUGUGCACAUCUUGACGGUACCUAAUCAGAAAGCCACGGCUAACUACGUG
rnacentral:rRNA from 1 species